UACAGAGGUCUCGAGCGUUGUUCGGAUUCAUUGGGCGUAAAGGGUGCGUAGGUGGCGCUGUAAGUCGGGUGUGAAAUCCUGAGGCUUAACCUCGGAACUGCAUUCGAUACUGCGGCGCUUGAGGACUGGAGAGGAGACUGGAAUUCAUGGUGUAGCAGUGAAAUGCGUAGAGAUCAUGAGGAAGACCAGUGGCGAAGGCGGGUCUCUGGGCAUGUCCUGACGCUGAGGAGCGAAAGUGUGGGGAGCGAACAGG
rnacentral:rRNA from 1 species